GCCUGGCUAGCUCAGUCGGUAAAGCAUCUGACUCUUGAUCUCAGGGUCAUGAGUUCAAGCCCCAUGUUGGGAA
rnacentral:tRNA from 1 species